rnacentral:rRNA from 1 species
CAGUCGCCACGGGAAUACGAAGGGGGCUAGCGUUGUUCGGAUUUACUGGGCGUAAAGGGCGCGUAGGCGGACUGAUAAGUCAGGGGUGAAAUCCCAAGGCUCAACCUUGGAACUGCCUUUGAUACUGUUUGUCUUGAGUUCGAGAGAGGUAAGUGGAACUGCGAGUGUAGAGGUGAAAUUCGUAGAUAUUCGCAAGAACACCAGUGGCGAAGGCGGCUUACUGGCUCGAAACUGACGCUGAGGCGCGAAAGCGUGGGGAGCAAACAGGAUUAGAUACCCCUGUAGUCCCUGUCUCUAUACA